rnacentral:tRNA from 1 species
CUGGUUGUAGGUUAUGUUUUAAACCGAGGGUCUGUGGAGCCCUAAAUCUUUUAAUAAGCAGCCAGC